GAUGCUAAUACCGGAUAACAACAGAUGAUGCCUAUCAACUGUUUAAAAGUAUGGUUCUGCUAUCACUCUUGGAUGGACCUGCGGUGCAUUAGCUAGUUGGUAGGGUAACGGCCUACCAAGGCGAUGAUGCAUAGCCGAGUUGAGAGACUGAUCGGCCACAUUGGGACUGAGACACGGCCCAAACUCCUACGGGAGGCAGCAGUG
rnacentral:rRNA from 1 species